CCGAGUACCGGAGCCCUCGGGUUCCUACUCCCACCCUAUGUUGACUCUGAAUGUUGCUUUGGCGGACCGGGUUAAACCGCCGGCUUCGGCUGGACAGUGUCCGCCAGAGGAUUUUAAACUCUUAAUUGUGAAUUCCGAGCACUCAGAAAUUGAAUCA
rnacentral:misc_RNA from 1 species